rnacentral:rRNA from 1 species
CCCAGACUCCUACGGGAGGCAGCAGUGGGGGAUAUUGCACAAUGGGGGGAACCCUGAUGCAGCGACGCCGCGUGGGUGAAGAAGUAUUUCGGUAUGUAAAGCCCUAUCGGCAGGGAAGAAAUUGGACGGUACCUGACUAAGAAGCCCCGGCUAACUACGUGCCAGCAGCCGCGGUAAUACGUAGGGGGCAAGCGUUAUCCGGAUUCACUGGGUGUAAAGGGAGCGUAGACGGCCAUGCAAGCCUGGAGUGAAAGCCCGGGGCCCAACCCCGGGACUGCUCUGGGAACUGUGCGGCUGGAGUGCGGGAGGGGCAGGCGGAAUUCCUGGUGUAGCGGUGAAAUGCGUAGAUAUCAGGAGGAACACCGGCGGCGAAGGCGGCCUGCUGGACCGCGACUGACGUUGAGGCUCGAAAGCGUGGGGAGCAAACAGGAUUAGAUACCCGAGUAC